UACAGAGGGUGCGAGCGUUAAUCGGAAUUACUGGGCGUAAAGCGUGCGUAGACGGUAGCGUAAGUCAGAUGUGAAAGCCCCGGGCUCAACCUGGGAAUUGCAUUUGAGACUGCUCUGCUCGGGUGCGGAAGAGGGAAGCGGAAUUUCCGGUGUAGCGGUGAAAUGCGUAGAUAUCGUGAGGAAGACCAGUGGCGAAGGCGGGUCUCUGGACAGUUCCUGACACUGAGGCACGAAGGCCAGGGGAGCAAACGGG
rnacentral:rRNA from 1 species